UACCGUUUUUGCAAUGGUAAUCCCUUACAUUACUCGUUACUUGAAAAAAGUAAUCGGAUUACUUACUGCCCAUCUCUGCACCUAGUGGCAAUUUGGAUUAUCCAAUUAACCUAUCCCCACAAAUUGUAUGUCUUUGGACAGUCAGUCAUAAAUAUCAUUUGUUUUAAACAUUUUGUAUUAUUAUUUCCUGCAGUCAGAAGAAUUGCAUUUUACAACAGUGUGGCACUGGACAAUGUUGUUGCUCCUUUUGACUGAUACUCGUGCUUGGAGAAACUCACACAGCAUCUAUCUGGAAAGAUGGCAACAUCAUGGAGUCAAAAGUUUUCGGUGUCACAGAGAGCUUAAAACCAAAAACUCCAACAAUCAAAUCAGUCACUGAAUCCGAAGGGAAUUUUGAAGUCAAGUGGACGUCAAACAUGGUGGGAUUUAUAAACAAUUACAUGACUGCUCAGAUGACUUACUAUAAAAAAGGAGAAACCAAAAAAGUAGGAACAAUGCCACAGUAACUAUUUGUUCUGGAGAUGUAAACAUGGGCAGCUGUUAAACUCAUUUUUGUACCUCCAUACUAGACAUCUGAAAUUUUCAAACCAGUUACCACAGCUGAUGGACUAAAUUACUAUGAAGGUCAAGACCUGGAUCCCAGUUCAACAUAUGUGGUCAGCGUGAAAAGCUUCUUUAGUCUGAGUGGCAAGUUCAGUGACAGUAGCAAAGAGUGGGAAUUUCAAACUGGUUUGAUGGCCCCUGCCGGGGAAAGGCUCAUCAGUGCCAUCAGUGUCAUCUGAGAAGUCCUCGGCUCUCUGUUCCCCGAUUAUAUAGCUGUGGCUGGCACGUCGUUCUGCCUCUCAUGCACCUGCCCGCCUGCCACCAUGCCAUGCUUCAACUUACUUUCUUUAUGUUGUCUAAGCACUUGCAAUAUCCAUACUCACCUAAUGCUAAAGGAAAGUCAAAGUGUGUCACACUCACUCAUUCGAUGAAUCGCUGCUUCAUGUUUAAUGUGAAAGAAUCACCUUAAAAAUAUUUGCACAGAAGAGCAAAGCAAACACAGACUUGCACCUUAUAAUCACUAAUUUUCAUCUUUCAUCAACUGUCAAAUUUACAGAAUAACUAGCUGUUGUUGUUUCUUGUCUUGUCAUGUGCCAUGCAGAGCUGUUAUGACAGAAGCAUCUUUGAAAAUUAAGCUGUCUGUGUAGUGUAAAAUUACACAAGCUAAGCUAAAAUCAUAUAAAAAGCAUCUGAUUUUAUUUGAAAUAAACAAAACCACUUCCUAAAAUGUAAAUGUUUAGGACAAAUACAGUAAGAUUAUGCUAACACUUUUUCAUAAACAUAUUGCUUAAUCCAGUGUACCGUGAAUCAUUACAUUUUUAGAAAAUGGAAGAUGCUCCUCUGUCACAGUGGUGCCUGCUAACACUUUGUAAUCUGAGAUAAAUGCAAAAUCACAGUUUGCAGGGUUGCUGUCAGGGUUCUGGGUAUGUGAACAGGUGUUUUGAUUUUGUAUUAUUAUUUUUUAUUAGUCUGUGGUUUCUUCUUGGUUCGUGUUUACUAGUGUUUUGGUUUCUGUUUUGUAUUUCUAGUUCGUAGGUUUUGGAUUCCUUUGCUCCUCAUGUCACUCUGGUCCCUGUACUCUGUGCUCUCUCUGUUUCGUGUCUCUGAGUCUGUGUCUGUAAGUUCAGUCUGUGUAUUUCCUGUUUUAUUUUAAAGGUCCAUGUCUGGUGUCACUGUAUUCAGUUUUCCGCCCUCCCUGUUUCGUCAUGUUAAUUAGGUUCAGCCGUGUCUCCCUCAUGUUUGCCAUUCCUUGUUUCCCUCCGUGUAUAGAUAAGUGUGUGUUUGCCUUUGCUCGUUGUCGGUCCGUCUGCUCAUCAUCCUGUGUUUCUCCCUGCAUGUUAUGCAUGUUAUGGUUUCAGGUUUGUUCACUAGUUCACUAGUUUUCCCAGUUCAGGUUAUUUCUUAGUUCUGUCCUCGCCAUCCUCGCUUUUGCUUGUUUUCACCUCCUGUUAAUAAAGCUCAAUUGCAUCAAAGACA